rnacentral:tRNA from 1 species
GCCACUUUAGCUCAGUCGGUAGAGCGGCUCACUCGUAAUGAGCAGGUCGGCAGUUCGAUUCUGCCAAGUGGCUCCC